GGAUCAUUACUGAGUUACGCUCUAUAACCCUUUGUGAACAUACCUAUAACUGUUGCUUCGGCGGGUAGGGUCUCCGCGACCCUCCCGGCCUCCCGCCUCCGGGCGGGUCGGCGCCCGCCGGAGGAUAACCAAACUCUGAUUUAACGACGUUUCUUCUGAGUGGUACAAGCAAAUAAUCAAAACUUUUAACAACGGAUCUCUUGGUUCUGGCAUCGAUGAAGAACGCAGCGAAAUGCGAUAAGUAAUGUGAAUUGCAGAAUUCAGUGAAUCAUCGAAUCUUUGAACGCACAUUGCGCCCGCCAGCAUUCUGGCGGGCAUGCCUGUUCGAGCGUCAUUUCAACCCUCAAGCUCUGCUUGGUGUUGGGGCCCUACAGCUGAUGUAGGCCCUCAAAGGUAGUGGCGGACCCUCCCGGAGCCUCCUUUGCGUAGUAACUUUACGUCUCGCACUGGGAUCCGGAGGGACUCUUGCCGUAAAACCCCCCAAUUUUCCAAAGGUUGACCUCGGAUCAGGUAGGAAUACCCGCUGAACUUAAGCAUAUCAAUAAGCGGAGGAAAAGAAACCAACAGGGAUUGCCUCAGUAACGGCGAGUGAAGCGGCAACAGCUCAAAUUUGAAAUCUGGCCCUAGGCCCGAGUUGUAAUUUGCAGAGGAUGCUUUUGGUGCGGUGCCUUCCAAGUUCCCUAGAACGGGACGCCAGAGAGGGUGAGAGCCCCGUACAGUUGGACACCAAGCCUUUGUAAAGCUCCUUCGACGAGUCGAGUAGUUUGGGAAUGCUGCUCAAAAUGGGAGGUAUAUUUCUUCUAAAGCUAAAUACCGGCCAGAGACCGAUAGCGCACAAGUAGAGUGAUCGAAAGAUGAAAAGCACUUUGAAAAGAGGGUUAAACAGCACGUGAAAUUGUUAAAAGGGAAGCGCUUGUGACCAGACUUGCGUCCGGUGAAUCACCCAGCUCUCGCGGCUGGGGCACUUCGCCGGCUCAGGCCAGCAUCAGCUCGCUGUCGGGGACAAAAGCUUCAGGAACGUAGCUCUCUUCGGGGAGUGUUAUAGCCUGUUGCACAAUACCCUUCGGCGGGC
rnacentral:rRNA from 1 species